GAUGAACGCUAGCGGCAGGCUUAACACAUGCAAGUCGAGGGGUAUAGGUUUUCGGACCUAGAGACCGGCGCACGGGUGCGUAACGCGUAUGCAAUCUACCUUUCACAGAGGGAUAGCCCAGAGAAAUUUGGAUUAAUACCUCAUAGUAUAGCAGUUUCGCAUGAAACCACUAUUAAAGUUCCAACGGUGAAAGAUGAGCAUGCGUCCCAUUAGCUAGAUGGUAAGGUAACGGCUUACCAUGGCUACGAUGGGUAGGGGUCCUGAGAGGGAGAUCCCCCACACUGGUACUGAGACACGGACCAGAAUCCUACGGGAGGAAGCAGUGAGGAAUCUUGGGCAAUGGACGCAAGUCUGAACCAGCCAUGCCGCGUGCAGGAUGACGGUCCUAUGGAUUGUAAACUGCUUUUGUACGAGAAGAAACAACAUUACGUGUAAUGUCUUGACGGUAUCGUAAGAAUAAGGAUCGGCUAACUCCGUGCCAGCAGCCGCAGUAACAC
rnacentral:rRNA from 1 species